GAUGAACGCUGGCGGCGUGCCUAAUACAUGCAAGUCGAACGAAACUUCUUUAUCACCGAGUGCUUGCACUCACCGAUAAAGAGUUGAGUGGCGAACGGGUGAGCAACACGUGGGCAACCUGCCCAAAAGAGGGGGAUAACACUUGGAAACAGGUGCUAAUACCGCAUAACCAUAGUUACCGCAUGGUAACUAUGUAAAAGGUGGCUAUACUACCGCUUUUGGAUGGGCCCGCGGGGCAUUAGCUAGUUGGUAGGGUAAAGGCUUACCAAGGCAAUGAUGCGUAGCCGAAUUGAGAGGUUGAUCGGCCACAUUGGGACUGAGACACGGCCCAAACUCCUACGGGAGGCAGCAGUAGGGAAUCUUCCACAAUGGGCGAAAGCCUGAUGGAGCAACGCCGCGUGGGUGAAGAAGGUCUUCGGAUCGUAAAACCCUGUUGUUAGGGAAGAAAGUGCGUGGGAGUAACUGUUCACGUUUCGACGGUAUCUAACCAGAAAGCCACUGCUAACUACGUG
rnacentral:rRNA from 1 species